rnacentral:lncRNA from 1 species
AGCCCUCCUUUCGGAUGAUGAGUGUCUUGGCAUAUAUACCAAUUCACGCUUCGGUCGGUCACCUAUUAUAUACCCAGUAACCGGUAUCCCUGGUAUUCCUUCCUUUCUGCUCCCUAUUAUGACUUUGGUCCCCUGUGGAGUCAGAUUUUCCUGAGUCGAUGUACCUUUUCAGGUCUUUCUCAGAUGUUUGGUUGAUUGAUAUCUCUCACCCUUAUACCGGUCUUA